AGUGAACGCUGGCGGUAGGCCUAACACAUGCAAGUCGAACGGCAGCACAGUAAGAGCUUGCUCUUACGGGUGGCGAGUGGCGGACGGGUGAGGAAUACAUCGGAAUCUACUUUUUCGUGGGGGAUAACGUAGGGAAACUUACGCUAAUACCGCAUACGACCUACGGGUGAAAGCAGGGGAUCUUCGGACCUUGCGCGAUUGAAUGAGCCGAUGCCGGAUUAGCUAGUUGGCGGGGUAAAGGCCCACCAAGGCGACGAUCCGUAGCUGGUCUGAGAGGAUGAUCAGCCACACUGGAACUGAGACACGGUACAGACUCCUACGGGAGGCAGCAGAGGGGAAUAUUGGACAAUGGGCGCAAGCCUGAUCCAGCCAUACCGCGUGGGUGAAGAAGGCCUUCGGGUUGUAAAGCCCUUUUGUUGGGAAAGAAAAGCAGCAGGUUAAUACCCCGCUGUUCUGACGGUACCCAAAGAAUAAGCACCGGCUAACUUCGUG
rnacentral:rRNA from 1 species